UUGUGGACGACAUGCUGCAGAUUUUGGCCGAAGUGGUGGACGAGCCCAUUUCAGCAGCAAUCAAAACCUCAAAGGCUGUAGGCCUGGAAAUAGAUGAGUCCACAGACAUGUCUUAAAACAACUGGACAUUCAUGUCAGGUAUACUGACAAAGAAGGGCAGCUCUUCUGCCAGUUCCUGGAUCUGGUAUCCAUACCAGAUGGCAUGGCAAGAACCAUUGCCGAGGCAGUGAAGGAGGUCAUUAUAGAAAAGGGAAUUCCUCAGGAUCGGAUUUAUGGCCUUGGCACGGACGGAGCAGCAGUCAUGACCGGAAAACAUAAUGGCACAGCCAAAUUACUGGCCGACACCUGGCCAGGAUUAGUGACAGUGCAUUGUGCUGCUCAUCGCCUCGCCCUCGCUUGCAAGGAUGCUGCAGAUGGAGUGCCCUACAUGAAGACCUUCAGAA